rnacentral:rRNA from 1 species
UACGGAGGGUGCGAGCGUUGUCCGGAAUCACUGGGCGUAAAGGGCGCGUAGGCGGCGCGAUAAGGCGGCGGUGAAAGUCCGGGGCUCAACCCCGGAUCGGCCGUGGCGACUGUCGCGCUGGAGCACAGUAGAGGCGGGUGGAAUUCCGGAUGUAGCGGUGGAAUGCGUAGAGAUCCGGAAGAACACCGGUGGCGAAGGCGGCCCGCUGGGCUGUGGCUGACGCUGAGGCGCGACAGCGUGGGGAGCAAACAGG